rnacentral:lncRNA from 1 species
CUUUUUCCAGUCUUCUGAGGGAAUAUAAUCUUCAUCUUCUUCAGACUCCUCUUCUAUUUCGCUGUUUGUAUCGAAAUAUUUACAUCGACGAGGGCGAAUCAACUCCUGUGGAUCUUGAGAAGCAACUGAUGGUGCCGGGUCGUCAUUAGAUGACUGCGUCUCAUCUUCCUGACCUGACGAAUCCUUUAUGGUCUCCUCUUUGUUUUCACCACUGCAGCCACUGUUGUCAUCGUUAUCAACAUCGUCAUCAUCUUCUCCCUCCUCCUCUUCCUCCUCCUCAUCUUCAUCAUCAUCAUCUUCU